ACUGCUCAGUAACACGUGGACAACCUACCCUACGGAGGGGGAUAACCCCGGGAAACUGGGGAUAAUACCCCAUAGACUAUGGAUGCUGGAAUGCUCUGUAGCCGAAAGGUCCGCCGCCGUAGGAUGGGUCUGCGGCCGAUUAGGUUGUUGUUGGGGUAACGGCCCAACAAGCCUGUAAUCGGUACGGGUUGUGGGAGCAAGAGCCCGGAGAUGGAUUCUGAGACACGAAUCCAGGCCCUACGGGGCGCAGCAGGCGCGAAAACUUUGCAAUGCGGGAAACCGUGACAAGGGAACUCUGAGUGCCCGUAAAAUCGGGCUGUCCAUCGGUUUAAAUAACCGGUGAAGAAAGGGCCGGGCAAGACCGGUGCCAGCCGCCGCGGUAAUACCGGCGGCUCGAGUGGUGGCCACUAUUACUGGGCUUAAAGCGUUCGUAGCUGGUUUGUUAAGUCUCUGGGGAAAUCUUCCGGCUUAACCGGAAGGCGUCUCAGGGAUACUGGCAGACUAGGGACCGGGAGAGGUGAGAGGUACUCCAGGGGUAGGAGUGAAAUCCUGUAAUCCUUGGGGGACCACCUGUGGCGAAGGCGUCUCACCAGAACGGCUCCGACAGUGAGGGACGAAAGCUGGGGGAGCAAACCGGAUUAGAUACCCGGGUAGUCCCAGCUGUAAACGAUGCGCGUUAGGUGUAUCGGUGACCACGAGUCACCGAGGUGCCGAAGAGAAAUCGUGAAACGUGCCGCCUGGGAAGUACGGUCGCAAGGCUGAAACUUAAAGGAAUUGGCGGGGGAGCAC
rnacentral:rRNA from 1 species